rnacentral:rRNA from 1 species
UGUAUAAUGGGUCAGCGACUUAUAUUCUGUAGCAAGGUUAACCGAAUAGGGGAGCCGAAGGGAAACCGAGUCUUAACUGGGCGUUAAGUUGCAGGGUAUAGACCCGAAACCCGGUGAUCUAGCCAUGGGCAGGUUGAAGGUUGGGUAACACUAACUGGAGGACCGAACCGACUAAUGUUGAAAAAUUAGCGGAUGACUUGUGGCUGGGGGUGAAAGGCCAAUCAAACCGGGAGAUAGCUGGUUCUCCCCGAAAGCUAUUUAGGUAGCGCCUCGUGAAUUCAUCUCCGGGGGUAGAGCACUGUUUCGGCAAGGGGGUCAUCCCGACUUACCAACCCGAUGCAAACUGCGAAUACCGGAGAAUGUUAUCACGGGAGACACACGGCGGGUGCUAACGUCCGUCGUGAAGAGGGAAACAACCCAGACCGCCAGCUAAGGUCCCAAAGUCAUGGUUAAGUGGGAAACGAUGUGGGAAGGCCCAGACAGCCAGGAUGUUGGCUUAGAAGCAGCCAUCAUUUAAAGAAAGCGUAAUAGCUCACUGGUCGAGUCGGCCUGCGCGGAAGAUGUAACGGGGCUAAACCAUGCACCGAAGCUGCGGCAGCGACACUGUGUGUUGUUGGGUAGGGGAGCGUUCUGUAAGCCUGUGAAGGUGUGCUGUGAGGCAUGCUGGAGGUAUCAGAAGUGCGAAUGCUGACAUAAGUAACGAUAAAGCGGGUGAAAAGCCCGCUCGCCGGAAGAC